rnacentral:rRNA from 1 species
GACGAACGCUGGCGGCGUGCUUAACACAUGCAAGUCGAACGGUAAGGCCCCUUCGGGGGUACACGAGUGGCGCACGGGUGCGUAACACGUGGGUGAUCUGCCCUGCACUUCGGGAUAAGCCUGGGAAACUGGGUCUAAUACCGGAUAGGACCACGCUCUGCAUGGAGUGUGGUGGAAAGCUUUUGCGGUGUGGGAUGGGCCCGCGGCCUAUCAGCUUGUUGGUGGGGUGAUGGCCUACCAAGGCGACGACGGGUAGCCGGCCUGAGAGGGUGUCCGGCCACACUGGGACUGAGAUACGGCCCAGACUCCUACGGGAGGCAGCAGUGGGGAAUAUUGCACAAUGGGCGCAAGCCUGAUGCAGCGACGCCGCGUGGGGGAUGACGGCCUUCGGGUUGUAAACCUCUUUCAGUACCGACGAAGCGCAAGUGACGGUAGGUACAGAAGAAGCACCGGCCAACUACGUG